rnacentral:rRNA from 1 species
CCAGGUUGGUGUGAUAGCAUGAUGUCUAAGUAUAAACUGCUUUAUACUGUGAAACUGCGAAUGGCUCAUUAAAUCAGUUAUAGUUUAUUUGAUGGUACCUACUACUCGGAUACCCGUAGUAAAUCUAGAGCUAAUACGUGCGUAAAUCCCGACUUCUGGAAGGGACGUAUUUAUUAGAUAAAAGGCCGACCGGGCUCUGCCGCCCUCGGGGGGAAUCAGGAAACUUUCACGAACGCAUGGGCCUUCCCCGGCCAUUUUUCAUUUCAAAUUUCGCCCCUACCACCUUCCAAGGGAAGAAUAAAGCCCUACAAGGGGGGAACCGGGGGGCCGAGGGAUUAGGGUCCAAUUCGGGGGGGGGAGGCCUGGGAAACGCUACCAAAUCCCAGGAAAGCAGCCGGGGGCGCAAAUACCCCAUCCUUGAACAGGGGGGGUGUGGACAUAAAAAAACCAUUCUUGGCCUUUUCAAGGCCGGGUAAUGGGAUUAGGUCCAACUAAAACCCCUUAACCGGGAUUCAUUUGGGGGCCAGGCUUGUGGCCAGCACCCCGGUAAUUUCCAGCUCCAUAGCGAAAAUUUAGGUGGCUCCAGUUAAAAAAGCUCGUAGUUGGAUUUCGGGUGGGCCUUGCGGUCCGCCGUUUCCGGUGUGCCACUGGCAGGGCCACCUUGGUAACGGGAACGGCUCCUUGGCUUCACUGUCCGGGACUCGGAGUCGGCGCUGUUACUUUGAGUAAUAGAGGUGCAAGCCAGGCUACGUCUGAUCAUAAGCAUGCAUUACCGAUAGGAACUCUGGCAACUGUGGCUGGAGACGGAUUAUGGAUUAGAGUCAGUCGAGCAUCCGGAUCAGUGUCAGCUACUCUGGAGUGAGCAGCCGACUACCUGCUGACCGUUUGGCACGAUGUUCAUAUCCGAUCGAUUGCGGAGUCUGUAGCC